CCUACGGGGGGCAGCAGUGAGGAAUAUUGGUCAAUGGGCGAGAGCCUGAACCAGCCAAGUCGCGUGAAGGAUGACGGCCCUACGGGUUGUAAACUUCUUUUGUCAGGGAGCAAUUGAGUCCACGUGUGGUCUUAGCGAGAGUACCUGAAGAAAAAGCAUCGGCUAACUCCGUGCCAGCAGCCGCGGUAAUAGGGAGGAUGCGAGCGUUAUCCGGAUUUAUGGGGUUUAAAGGGUGCGUAGGCGGAAUAUCAAGUCAGCGGUAAAAAUUCGGGGCUCAACCCCGUCGUGCCGUUGAAACUGAUGUUCUUGAGUGGGCGAGAAGUAUGCGGAAUGCGUGGUGUAGCGGUGAAAUGCUUAGAUAUUGCGCAGAACUCCGAUUGCGAAGGCAGCAUACCGGCGGCGAUCUGACGCUGAGGCACGAAAGCGCGGGUAUCGAACAGGAUUAGAUACCCGAGUAGUC
rnacentral:rRNA from 1 species